UCUCUUUUACAUAUUCAAAUUGCCAGCACCACUACUCUUGCACUUUGGAGCUAUGAUUAAGUAAAAUAAAGAUGACUUGAACUCAAGCACUGUGACAUAGCAACCAAGAUGGCUAUUGAGUGACUCACAGUCAAGGAGCAUACAUACCAUGGACACUGGUUGAGGGCAGGAUUCAUGUCCCAGAUGGGAUGGUGUGGGACCGUGUGACAUUUCAGCAUGCUAUUCCAAAUGGCCCUUUAUCUCCCUGUCCAGGCCAGUGUGUUCUCCAAAAAAGAGGGAAGAUGGGCUCCCAAGAGAUCACAGUGUCCACCUGCAUCCUACCAGCUGAGUCACUUGUCUGCUCCUGCCGCAUUGACCUUUAUUGAGCAAAACCUUGGAGUACUGGCAUUUCAACCACAUCCAGGAGGCUGACCACAUCCAGGAGAAUGGCCCUUUUGCCAAAAAGUUCUCUCUCCAUAGACCAACAGGAAGUUCCCUAAGUACUAUGAGACCUUGUCUCUGUCUAUAGCUGGCUACAUUGGACACGGAUUCCUCACCCAAGGGGAGGAAGACACUGAAACUACGUUAGUUGUCUUGGGAACAUGAAUUGAAAGGCAAGUAUUUGUGAAUGCUGAGACCUACAUUUUGUGGUUUCCACGAUGACCCAAGAACAGGCCAAGAAAGCCAUCAGCACAGGGAGACAAAAAAUAAAUUUCUCUAUUUUAAUCAGCACAAAAAAAAUGCCUCUCAACUGUCAAUCACGAAUUCUGAACCAAGAAUCCAAUGCCUUACUUGGGUUUGAGGUUUGAAUUUACACUACAGAUGUGGUCUAGGAAUAUCUGAGAUGAGAUAUUGACAUGAAAAUGUGAUUCUAUACUAUUCAGCCAUAAAAAAGAAUGAAAUCCUGUCAUUCACAGCAACAUGGAUGAGCCUGGGGGACCUCAUGUUAAGUGAAAUAAGUCAGGCACAGAAAGACAAAUACUGCGCGUUCUCAUUUGUGGGGGCUGAAAAAGUUGUACUCAUAGAAGUAAAGAGUGGGAUUCUAGGAUGGGGGAUGGGGAGGUAAGGAUGGUUACAGAUAGAAAAUUAUAGCUAGAUAGAAUAAGUUCUAAUGAUCUAUAUAGCAUUGUAGGAUAACCCUAGUUAACAAUAAUUUAUUAUAUAUUUUCAAAUAGCUAGAAGAGAGGAUUUUGAAUGUUUCCAACA